GUGAAUCAUCAAAUCUUUGAACGCAAAUUGCACUCUCCUCGGAGAGUAUGCCUGUUUGAGGGUUAGCCUAUAAAAAAUCGAAAUCGUUGCUGUUUCGCGGUAAUGUUCGUUGGAAAUCGGGUCAUCUUAAAUCUUUUGCUUUAAGUGUCUUAAAAAUUUCUUUUUGAUUCCUUGUACGUUUCUAAGAUUUAUUUCUUUAUACGUUUAAGGUAUCGAUUUAUUAGACGUGGUCGCCAUAUCGGAUCGUGUGUAUAAUUUUUCAUUAAUU
rnacentral:misc_RNA from 1 species